GACAACGCUGGCGGCGUGCCUAACACAUGCAAGUCGAGGGCGAAAACUUCCUUCGGGAGGUGAGUAGACCGGCGGACGGGUGCGUAACACGUGAGCAACCUGCCUGGAAGAGGGGGAUAACCCGGGGAAACCCGGGCUAAUACCGCAUGAUGUGGCCUGUUCUAAUGUGUGGGUCACCAAAGAGGGCGUCUCUUGCGGAGCUCUUGCUUCCAGAUGGGCUCGCGGCCUAUCAGCUUGUUGGUGAGGUAAUGGCUCACCAAGGCCAUGACGGGUAGCUGGUCUAAGCGGAUGAUCAGCCACACGGGGACUGAGACACGGCCCCGACUCCUACGGGAGGCAGCAGUGGGGAAUUUUGGACAAUGGGCGAAAGCCUGAUCCAGCGACGCCGCGUGCGGGAGGAAGCCCCUCGGGGUGUAAACCGUUGUCAGGAGGGAAGAACAGGUUCGAGUUAAUACCUCGAGCAACUGACGGUACCUCCAGAGGAAGCGCCGGCUAACUCCGUG
rnacentral:rRNA from 1 species